rnacentral:rRNA from 1 species
AACGAACGCUGGCGGCAGGCUUAACACAUGCAAGUCGAACGCCCCGCAAGGGGAGUGGCAGACGGGUGAGUAACGCGUGGGAAUCUACCCAGAUCUUCGGAACAACUGAGGGAAACUUCAGCUAAUACCGGAUACGCCCUACGGGGGAAAGAUUUAUCGGUUCUGGAUGAGCCCGCGUUGGAUUAGCUAGUUGGUGGGGUAAUGGCCUACCAAGGCGACGAUCCAUAGCUGGUCUGAGAGGAUGAUCAGCCACACUGGGACUGAGACACGGCCCAGACUCCUACGGGAGGCAGCAGUGGGGAAUAUUGGACAAUGGGCGAAAGCCUGAUCCAGCCAUGCCGCGUGAGUGAUGAAGGCCUUAGGGUUGUAAAGCUCUUCCAGUAGGGAAGAUAAUGACGGUACCUACAGAAGAAGCCCCGGCUAACUUCGUGCCAGCCGCCGCAGUAAUAC